rnacentral:rRNA from 1 species
CCUACGGGAGGCAGCAGUGGGGAAUAUUGCGCAAUGGGCGAAAGCCUGACGCAGCGACGCCGCGUGAGGGAUGAAGGUCUUCGGAUCGUAAACCUCUGUCAGCAGGGAAGAACAGUCACUGUGCUAAUCAGCAGUGACUUGACGGUACCUGCACAGGAAGCACCGGCUAACUCCGUGCCAGCACCCGCGGUAGUACGUAGGGUGCGAGCGUUAAUGGGAAUUACUGGGCGUAAAGCGCUCGUAGGCGGUAUGGCAAGUCAAGGGUGAAAUCCCCGCGCUCAACGUGGGAACUGCCUUUGAAACUGGCAAACUGGAGUGUGUGAGAGGAUAGUGGAAUUCCAGGUGUAGGAGUGAAAUCCGUAGAUAUCUGGAGGAACAUCAGUGGCGAAGGCGACUAUCUGGCACAUAACUGACGCUGAGGAGCGAAAGCGUGGGGAGCAAACAGGAUUAGAUACCCGGGUAGUC